AUAACAUAGUCUGUCGGGCUGAAUUUCAUAAUUAUGAAAGAAGCUACACCAAAAUCAUUUGAGAAACUCUGAGUGCCACUGACAAGGUAACCAGAUGAGAAGCUUUGUGUAUCUUGUGGAAAUGGUUUAUCAGAGCAGGACUUUUCCUUGAACAUGUCAUGGCUCACAAUGCAUUCAUUGGAAACAGAAUAGAAUCAUAGAAUCAUAGAAUGGCUUGGGUUGGAAGGGACCUCAAGGAUCAUCAAGCUCCAACCCCUUGCCACGUGCAGGGCUGCCAACCUCCAUAUCUAAUACUAGACCAGGCUGCCCAGGGCCUCAUCUACAGCUAUUUUUCAUUGACAAAGCUAAAUAUGAAUGUUUGGCCAUAUCUGGAACAUCAGAAGGGGCACUUCGUCUUGUUUUCAAGGAAGAUUUUGGUGGUGAAGCUACCACACAAAUUAAAAUUGUGCAAGAAGAAUUUUGGUGGCACGCGUAUAAUCUAAACUAUGCCAUACUACUGUGUACCUGAAGGGAUUCAGGUGAAAGAAAGAAAAUGCGACAGAUGCAAGCUUUACAUUUCUGAGCAAUAAAAAAUUUCUGAUCUUGUCUUCCCCUUGGAUGAAAAUAUUGAUGAUCAGUCAAUGUAUGUCACUCUGGAAAAAAUCACAUCCUUUUAUUAAUUUUUUUUUCUUCUGAUGUUUCUGUACUUAAAGCCACAAGCUUGCAUCACAAAAAAAUCUGAAAUGCUUCAUUUGGAAGAUAUCCAGGCAGUACAUUUUUCUUCAUCGCUGCAACUUUUGUCUUCAUUUUUUUGCUGAAACAAAAUUUUGGCAAAACCCCAUGCAAGUUUCCAGAGCUACUUAGUUCGGAUAGUUUUGAGUUUUCCUUGGAACAAUGAUUCUACUAGAAGUAUUUCCAGCCAGUUGUAACAGCAGUAGCCUCCACAUUUUUGACCAUUCAGUCUUCAAGGAAAUCUUCAAGCUCAUCUUCAAGGAAAUGGGCCUUUAUUUAUUUAUUUGUUUGUUAAUUUAUUAGUGUUUGUAAUCGCCAUCUUGAAAAUAAUUGACAAUACAGGAGAUGAAGUACAGAAGUUACAGUUGUAAAAGUGUAAUGGUACAUGUGUAUUUUUUCAGAUGGAAAAAAACACAGAAUGUAAAGUUAAAGCAACUCUCCAGAGAGUGCUUCAACUCACAUCAGGGCAUCACAGCCUUAUUCCAGUUCAUACACAGUUGAGUUGUGUUCUCUUCUGUGUCUGCCUUUGUAUGAUAGAAAACCAUCCUAGUUUUCUUUGACAGCAGCAGCAUGAAGUAUAGGAGAAAACAGAGAAAAAUAAACUUGAACCUGGUGACCUGAGUGGAUGCAAGCAGAAGUGUAUUUCAUUAUGGCAACUCCAUAUGCUAGCUUAAAGAAAAAUCAAAAUAUUUUGGGGAAUGUGUCCUAGACUUAAGCAGGUUUCAGAAACAGAAGGUUAAUUUUUAGAAAACCUAAAUAGAAUUGUGAAAUUAAAAUAGAUUGACAAGUACUUGUAAUCAAAAUAAAAACAUCCAGGCAUUACAUCUAUUUAGAAAAUUGUCUUAGCUUUUUGAAAUAACUGAUUUACAAGCUGUAGCAUGAAAGAAAUAUUCUUAUAAGAUAUAAGUGUAUCUUAUGAAGAUACACUUCAUAAAUAUAUUAUAUAUAUUUCUAUAAUAAAACUUCAGUGUAUUUUCACAUAGAAGAUCCCAAAAUAUGCCUUGUACCUUUUUCAGUAUAGAGCAUAUUAGUUGGCUCUUUCUAUGCUUUUUCUCUAUUAUUUUUUCCUUCUUGACUAUUCUUCACACGGAGGAAGAAAAGGACAAGCUGCAUAUUCAAGCUGACAGUGAUAAAACAUUUAUUUCUUAACUUUCAUGACACCAUAUAAUAGACAGGUAAAAGAUGGAUUUUAUGUUUUAUGAAGUUUAAUUUGUUCUGAAAAAAUGAAACAAUAUAAAAUUAUGUCUGUUCCUUUUUCAUAUGAGGAAGCUUUGAAAUAUCCUUUGUGAUUUCUGGAUAUUUUCUUAAGAAGUAUAUGAAAUUUUCUGUAAGAGUCUUAGUUGACUCUCUAAUACCUUUUUUACAAAUACCUAUACUUGCAUUAAUUGUAUUUAUUAGAGCCUAAAACUGUGAGUAUGUAAAAUUGAAAAGAUAAGGCAUAUUGGCGAUUUUGUUCUUAGGUUAUUUUCAACAUAUAUUGUUAGUUUUGCUGAAGGUGAUUUUCUUCUUUCAAAUUUCUCUAAAUGACAUUUUAAAGAAAUAUGUAUAUAUGCAUUAAAAAGAUCACGGAGUUAU
ensembl:lncRNA